rnacentral:rRNA from 1 species
GUCGAGAAUUUUUCACAAUGGGGGAAACCCUGAUGGAGCGACGCCGCGUGGGGGAUGAAUGGCUUCGGCCCGUAAACCCCUGUCAUUUGUGACCAAACCUUUUGACCCAACACGUCAAAAGCUGAUGGUAGCGAAAGAGGAAGGGACGGCUAACUCUGUGCCAGCAGCCGCGGUAAUACAGAGGUCCCAAGCGUUGUUCGGAUUCACUGGGCGUAAAGGGUGCGUAGGUGGCAGGGCAAGUCUGGCGUGAAAUCUCCGAGCUCAACUCGGAAAUGGCGUUGGAAACUGCUUUGCUUGAGGGUUGGAGGGGGGACUGGAAUACUUGGUGUAGCAGUGAAAUGCGUAGAUAUCAAGUGGAACACCAGUGGCGAAGGCGAGUCCCUGGACAACUCCUGACACUGAGGCACGAAAGCUAGGGGAGCAAACGGGAUUAGAAACCCCUGUAGUCC